UUGAUGAGCUUAGUGGUCAGAGCUCUUGGAUGGUCUCCAAAAGGCGCGGGUUCAAAUUCCGCUUCGUUGAA
rnacentral:tRNA from 1 species